rnacentral:tRNA from 1 species
CGGGGUGUAGCUCAGUCUGGUUUUAGAGCGCUUGGUUCGGGACCAAGAGGUCCUCGGUUCAAAUCCGAGCACCCCGA